rnacentral:rRNA from 1 species
CCUACGGGAGGCAGCAGUGGGGAAUAUUGGGCAAUGGGCGCAAGCCUGACCCAGCAACGCCGCGUGAAGGAAGAAGGCUUUCGGGUUGUAAACUUCUUUUCUCAGGGACGAAGCAAGUGACGGUACCUGAGGAAUAAGCCACGGCUAACUACGUGCCAGCAGCCGCGGUAAUACGUAGGUGGCAAGCGUUAUCCGGAUUUACUGGGUGUAAAGGGCGUGUAGGCGGGAAAGCAAGUCAGAUGUGAAAACCAUGGGCUCAACCUGUGGCCUGCAUUUGAAACUGUUUUUCUUGAGUACUGGAGAGGCAGACGGAAUUUCUAGUGUAGCGGUGAAAUGCGUAGAGAUUAGGAGGAACACCAGUGGCGAAGGCGGUCUGCUGGACAGCAACUGACGCUGAGGCGCGAAAGCGUGGGGAGCAAACAGGAUUAGAUACCCGGGUAGUC